UCCAGACUCCUACGGGAGGCAGCAGUGGGGAAUAUUGCACAAUGGGCGAAAGCCUGAUGCAGCAACGCCGCGUGAGCGAUGAAGGCCUUCGGGUCGUAAAGCUCUGUCCUCAAGGAAGAUAAUGACGGUACCUGAAUAAGAAGCACCGGCUAAAUACGUGCCAGCAGCCGCGGUAAUACGUAUGGUGCAAGCGUUAUCCGGAUUUACUGGGCGUAAAGGGAGCGCAGGCGGCGCGCCAAGUCUGAUGUGAAACCCCGGGGCUCAACCCCGGGCAUGCAUUGGAAACUGGCGGGCUGGAGUGCCGGAGAGGUAAGCGGAAUUCCUAGUGUAGCGGUGAAAUGCGUAGAUAUUAGGAGGAACACCAGUGGCGAAGGCGGCUUACUGGACGGCAACUGACGCUGAGGCUCGAAAGCGUGGGGAGCAAACAGGAUUAGAUACCCGGGUA
rnacentral:rRNA from 1 species